ACCAUUGUGACAACAUUAACUUUUAAUAUAAAGUCAUGAUUUAUUAUAUUUGUUAGUGCAGAAUUUUGCCGAUGUCGAAGAAGCUGGAGUCGAGGAGAUCGCGUCUGCCGUCGGGACCUACAAGGAAAGUCUAAACUGGAGUUGGGGGUGCUCCGGCAAGACCCUCCGAUGCUCAAGUCAGUACUUUGCCUCAACAGAAAUGGAGCACUCG
rnacentral:lncRNA from 1 species